GGGCGCGAUUCAUAUCUCAACCGAAAUAUUUGUAAAGCGAUACGAACGAGUUACGAGAUGAAAUCCGCAAUGUUCAAAAACGCGAUUCAUAACACACAUACUUUGAUCUCGUUUUCAUAUCGCUAGUUCGUAUUUGGAUUGCUUGAGUGAAAUGAAUGAAACUAUAUUUUUUUAAUUGUCAUGCAAAAAUAAUAAAUACUACCACUAAUUGUUUUAAAUAAUUUUGUUCCUAAAAUAUAUUUUGUUGGAAUUAGUGACGAUAGCAAGUAUCAAGAAACGGCUUUUUAAUUCAACGUUGAAGAAAUUCAUAACCUGUGGCACUUUUGACAGCCGCCAUGUUUUCUACAUAAAGUCAUAAAAACAAACAUAACAAACAUUGAUUUUCUUUGCUCAUUUUCGUGUCAACGUAGUUUUUUUGGAAAAUAAGAAGAAAGGAAGUUUAACUAACUUAGAGAAAUACGACUGAGACAUGUAAGUAUCAAUGUAUUAACCUAUUUUUUUUGAAAUAUAAAUGUUACCGGUUGUAGUUAAGAAGGUAUUGUAAUUUACGAUGUAUCCAAUUUCUGUUUGAAUUGUUUUAGAAUCAUUAACGAGAUGAACACAAGCAGCAGCCGAUGUGCUUGAGUUGCAGAAGGAGCAACUGCGUUGUGAGAGGGCCACGGCUUCAGCCCUCACAAUGAUAGCUGAAGCAAUGAACAGACAGGCUGCAGUCAAUGAGAGGCUUCUUAAGCAGGGGCUCCUCAUAUGGAAAAAGGCUAAUGAAAGGAACAAUCAAGACCAGACUUAAAGUAAAGAUUUUAGCGGCGACGCAGUUGCGCGACCAGUGAAGCUCUGGCUCCGCGACCGGCGUGGAGCGCGCGGUCCGCGCGGCGCUGCUGCGCGGGAGGAUCCCGUCCCUGCGCAUUUGCCUGGCCUUCAAUGGCCUCACGCCUCUCUUCUUCCUCUUCUUCAUGCGUCAAUUCAAACAGAGGAGCACCUGUGAUUACUGAUUACCUAAGUUCCUAUAUACAAUAAUAGUUUAAUAAUUGUUACAAAAUAUUGUAUACAUACAUAAGUAUUAAUAAUUAUACAAAAGGCUAAAAGCAUUUUGUGCCAGCCAACCUAUAGGAGAGAAUAUGAGAAAAAUAAUAAGACUUUAAUCUUUGAUUGCCAUUAUCUGUAGCUUUAUUAAGUGGUAAAGGGACCUAAUUACUACCUAUAUUUUUUAGUAUUUGUGAUAAUUCAUAGAAUUUAUUAGUUCUAUCAAUAAAUAAAAUAUACAUGCAUUACAAUGUGUUUAAUUCAUUAACUUACAAUUUGCACACUGAGGGAA